GGCUUCGUGAUCGAGUGGUAAGGAUACUGGCUUCCUCACCCUGGAGUCCCGGGUUCGAUCCCCGGUCGAGAAGCUA
rnacentral:tRNA from 1 species